GGCCCCGUAGUGUAGCGGUCCAACACGCCACCCUGUCACGGUGGAGAUCGUCGGUUCGAAUCCGAUCGGGGUCGCCA
rnacentral:tRNA from 2 species